AUGGCAUCAGUUGAUCUCUUUCAUUGUCUGAUUCUCACCCUAUUUUUGAGUCUGUUUCCUCAAGCUUUUUCCCUUGCUGCUUCUCCCACAACUUCUGUCAUAGUCCCUUUCCAGUGCUCUGCAACAAUCGCUACAUGUAAUGCCUCACUAUACCACAUCAACAGCGGUUUUCAGAAAGAAGAAAUCGCCUCUUUGUACUCUGUCGAUCUAUCUCAAGUCAAACCUAUAAAGUAUAGCAAUAGAGAAGAUCUUCUCAUAAGUGUACCUUGUUCUUGCAAAAACAUAUCCGGCACUACUGGAUAUUUCUAUGAUACAAUCUACAAAGUGAAAUUGUCAGACACAUUUUCUGAUGUAUCGAAUAAUAUCUACAGUGGGCAAGCUUUAUCUGUCAUAGAAGAACAAAAGAAAAACUUUACUAUAGGAUCUGAUUUUCCCAUUCAUCUUCCUUGUGGGUGUGUAGAUGGUGAUUCUCAGAUUGUGGUAACAUACACAGUUCAAGAGAAAGAUACACUGACAGAUAUCGGCAGUCUGCUCUCUGCCAAGAUAGAAAACAUUGAAACAAUGAACAAGAAACUGGUUGAGAACCCGUCAUUCAUAGUUCUCGGUUGGGUGUUGUUUGUGCCCUCGGAAAAGAAUGGACUUAAAAAGCCAGAUGGCAAACGAUACAGACACAAGUGGGAAGUAUUGGUUGGUAUACUAUCAGGUGUGACAUUGCUUUCACUAAGCACAUUUGCCCUCCUCCUUAUUAGGAGAAAAGCUGCAGCCAAAGAAAAUAUUGAAGUUCCAAGAGUUGUUUCCAAAACUUUGUCUGCCAAUAAAUCUUUUUCGUUGCAUAAUCAGUUACUUCAUCAGCAAUACAUGGAAGGUCAGAUAAUACAAUGUUGAUUUACAGAUGCAACAGUAUUUGAAUCAGACGGACCAGUAGUAUUUCCUCUUGAGGAGAUUGAAGAGGCUACUGGUUAUUUCGAUGAAAGUAAGAUCAUUGGAGAGGGUGGAUAUGGUAAAGUAUACUUCGGAGUACUAGGGAAAAAGGAGGUCGCCAUAAAGAAGAUGAGAUCUAAUAAGUGCAAAGAGUUCUUUGCAGAGCUAAAGGUCUUAUGCAAGAUCCAUCACAUAAAUGUGGUGGAGCUUUUGGGGUAUGCCAGUGGAGAUGACCACCUCUACCUGGUCUAUGAGUAUGUUCAGAAUGGAUCACUGAGCGAACAUCUUCAUGAUCCAUUGCUUAAAGGUCAUCAGCCUCUCUCCUGGACUGCAAGAACACAAAUUGCACUGGAUACUGCAAAAGGUAUUGAAUACAUUCAUGACCACACAAAAGCCCGAUAUGUGCACCGUGAUAUAAAGACAAGUAACAUUCUACUUGAUGAGGGUCUCAGAGCAAAGGUAGCAGAUUUUGGUUUGGCAAAGCUUGUUGGAAGAACCAAUGAAGAAGAUAUUAUUGCCACUAGACUGGUUGGAACACCGGGCUAUCUCCCCCCAGAAUCUGUGCAGGAGCUCCAGGUGACUCACAAGACUGAUGUAUUUGCAUUUGGCGUGGUACUUGGAGAACUGAUUACAGGGCAACGUGCACUGUUCCGUGACCACCGGGAGCCUGCAAAGAUGAAAUCUUUGAUUACAGUAAUAAAAAAGGUGUUCCAUGAUGAUCACCCAGAAUUAGCUUUGGGGGCUAUCACAGACCCUAGUCUCCAGGGCACCUAUCCUAUAGAAGAGAUAUUCAAGAUGGCGGAAAUAUCAGAGUGGUGUUUGAGUGAAGAAGCAGUGGGAAGGCCAGAAAUGAGAGAGAUUGUAGUGCACCUCUCUCAAAUUGUGACAAACUCUACUGAGUGGGAAGCACAACUUGGGGGUAACAGUCAAGUUUUCAGUGGCUUAUUUAAUGGAAGAUGA